rnacentral:hammerhead_ribozyme from 1 species
ACACUGCUGAAGAGUCCCAUAAUAGGACGAAACGGCCGUCCAGUGU